AGGGGGUAGAAGCAGCUUGCUGCUUUGAGACCGGCGCACGGGUGCGUAACGCGUAUACAAUCUACCUUUUACAGAGGGAUAGCCCAGAGAAAUUUGGAUUAAUACCUCAUAGUAUUUUCGAAUCGCAUGAUUUGAUUAUUAAAGUUCCAACGGUAAAAGAUGAGUAUGCGUCCCAUUAGCUAGAUGGUAAGGUAACGGCUCACCAUGGCAACGAUGGGUAGGGGUCCUGAGAGGGAGAUCCCCCACACUGGUACUGAGACACGGACCAGACUCCUACGGGAGGCAGCAGUGAGGAAUAUUGGACAAUGGGCGCAAGCCUGAUCCAGCCAUGCCGCGUGCAGGAAGACGGUCCUAUGGAUUGUAAACUGCUUUUAUACAGGAAGAAACACCUCUACGUGUAGAGACUUGACGGUACUGUAUGAAUAAGCAUCGGCUAACUCCGUGCCAGCAGCCGCGGUAAUACGGAGGAUGCAAGCGUUAUCCGGAAUCAUUGGGUUUAAAGGGUCCGUAGGCGGUUUAAUAAGUCAGUGGUGAAAGCCCAUCGCUCAACGAUGGAACGGCCAUUGAUACUGUUAAACUUGAAUUAUUAGGAAGUAACUAGAAUAUGUAGUGUAGCGGUGAAAUGCUUAGAGAUUACAUGGAAUACCAAUUGCGAAGGCAGGUUACUACUAAUAUAUUGACGCUGAUGGACGAAAGCGUGGGGAGCGAACAGGAUUAGAUACCCUGGUAGUCCACGCCGUAAACGAUGGAUACUAGCUGUUCGGAGCAAUCUGAGU
rnacentral:rRNA from 1 species